rnacentral:rRNA from 1 species
UACGUAGGGGGCAAGCGUUGUUCGGAAUUACUGGGCGUAAAGGGCGCGUAGGCGGCAUGGCAAGUCAGGAGUGAAAGGCCUGGGCUCAACCGAGGAACUGCUUUUGAUACUGCCAAGCUAGAGUGCGGAAGGGGGCAACUGGAAUUCCCAGUGUAGCGGUGAAAUGCGUAGAUAUUGGGAAGAACACCUGAGGCGAAGGCGGGUUGCUGGGCCGACACUGACGCUGAGGCGCGAAAGCCAGGGGAGCAAACGGG